rnacentral:rRNA from 1 species
GAUGAACGCUGGCGGCGGGCCUAAUACAUGCAAGUCGAGCGAACAGACGAGGGGCUUGCUCCUCUGACGUUAGCGGCGGACGGGUGAGUAACACGUGGAUAACCUACCUAUAAGACUGGGAUAACUUCGGGAAACCGGAUCUAAUACCGGAUAAUAUAUUGAACCGCAUGGUUCAAUAGUGAAAGACGGUUUUGCUGUCACUUAUACAUGGAUCCGCGCCUCAUUAGCUAGUUGGUAAGGUAACGGCUUACCAAGGCAGCGAUGCGUAGCCGACCUGAAAGGGUGAUAGGCCACCCUGGAACUGAGACACGGUCCAGACACCUACGGGAGGCAGCGGCAGGGACUCUUACGCAAUGGGCGAGAGCGUGACAGAGCACAGCCGCGUGAGGGAUGAAGCUCUUAGGAUCGUAAAACUCUGUUAUUCGUGAAGAACAAAUGUGUAAGUAACGAUGCACAUAAUGACGGUACCUAAUCAGAAAGCCACGGCUAACUACGUG